CCAGACCAUCAAGCUAAGCAACUACUCCCAAGCUCUUGUGAGAUGUGGUGCAGGACAAGAGAAGCGUGGAAAAAUAAUUGAGGUUGGCUAAUCAGAAAAUGAAGGCACAGAGAUUAAUCACGAUGAUGGCAUACAGGGCAUCCUUGCAAAGUACUUCCAACCCUUCUCCCUCCCUGCUUUUGGUUUUCAUUUACUGGUAGAACUUGGUAGAGAAAACUUGCUAGAAGGGGUCCUCUCUAUGCAAGUGUCUUCCAUUCCCGCCCCUUACCACCUUCACUCUGGCUUCAGGGAGCUUUGAUGAAGUCAGUUGGCACAGGCAGCAGAUGUGGAGUCAAUGGGGUGCAAAGACAGAAUAGUAGGACCCUACUCAUGGGACCUGGAUAGAAUAGAGAACCGUUUCCCAGAGGUACAAUGUCUCAGGCAGAGACGCAAGCUGAGUCCACUGUGGACCCGUGCAGAGGGAUCUGCCUAGUUUGCUCCUUCCUCCUUGCUGUGAAGAGCCACCCUAGCACUGCAGAGCAAGAAACCUUAAAGCAAGACUUCCUACACCCUCCUGUUUCUCAUAAUUAUGACCACUUAGUGAGCACUUACUUUGGGCCAGACAUCAGACUAAGCACUUUGCAAACAUUAUCUCAUUUAAUCCCAUGAGGUAAGUCUUAUUAUCCCAAUUAAAGAUAAGAGAAUUGAGGCUUAGAGCGGUGAAGUGACUCGUCCAAGGUGCACAGCCUGGGCCAGUGGCCAAGCACAGCUCCAGCUGACUCUCCGCCUCAGCUUGUACCCACUAGACUAUACUGUCCAACAGCCUUGAUCAUCCAAACUGCUUGCUGGCGCACUUUCUUCAUUGUCGACCUAAUGCAGCCCAUUUCUCUAGUUUCUGAACUUGAGGUGAAACUUUCCAUUAACGAGCAUUUCCAACAUCUCAAACGAAAGAAGAAUUGUUUCUCUAGCUUGAACUCUUUGCUUCCCAGUUAGUUGUGACUCACAUCCGCAUUUUUGUCACUGGCUAUCAAAAUCACACUCUCCUAAUAUGGUAUAUCGAAGUACAACAGUGUGAGUCUUUUUUGUUAUUGUUGUCCCACAACUGGACCCAGGACACAAUGUCUGCAGCAUUCAAGUGUUCCUGAGUAAAAGCCAGAAGAUUAUACAUGCAUAUCAAGUUCAAGACAUCUUAAUUAAAAGGCGCCUUGGCAAGUGGGAUUUUCAA